ensembl:rRNA 5S_rRNA 5S ribosomal RNA
AUCUACGGUCAUACCACCCUGAACAUGCCCUAUCUCGUCUGAUCUCGGAAGCUACUCAGGGUUGGACGGUUAUACUUAGACAGGAGACUGGAGUUU